AUAACCUUGUUUCUUGUUUCGCAGGAGAUUGUGGAAUGGAGACUGGAGAUAGCACACACCCCUGAUUAGGAGCAGUGACAAGAUCCACAACGAUAAGGCACCUGGAACAGACGUUGGAGCGAGGAGCAGAGAAACAAGAAUACACAAGGAGAAAUGAAUCCAUCAAGAAAUGAAGCCGAACUGAAUCAUUCAAUUCUCAAGGAAACACUCAAGCCCAAUGAUGAAAAAAGAAGCAGCAGCACUUCACUAGCAUGGAUAUAGUUCAAGAUUAAAGAGCUGCCAGGUAAUGUGCAGAGGCUGGAGAGUCUUCUGCAGUCAGGACUGCCUGUGCUAAGCCCUCUUCCAGCCAAGUCAACUCCUGAUGCUUGUCUGCAUCAAUAGAGACAUGGGCCUGAAAACAUUCAUCGACUAGGGUUCAGUCAUCAAAAGGCACUCGAGUUAAGUCGUCCAUCCCAAGAGAGACUUAGGAGA